CAGUCGCCACGGUAAUACGUAGGGGGCAAGCGUUAUCCGGAAUUACUGGGUGUAAAGGGAGCGUAGACGGUUAAACAAGUCUGAAGUGAAAUGCCGGGGCUCAACCCCGGAGCUGCUUUGGGAACUGUAGAACUGGAGUGUCGGAGGGGUAAGCGGAAUUCCCAGUGUAGCGGUGAAAUGCGUAGAUAUUGGGAGGAACACCGGCGGCGAAGGCGGCUUACUGGACGACAACUGACGUUGAGGCUCGAAGGCGUGGGUAGCAAACAGGAUUAGAUACCCCUGUAGUCCCUGUCUCUUAUAU
rnacentral:rRNA from 1 species